GUCUUUGAAGAACCGGAAAUGGUUGUCUUGUCUUGUUGUCUUUUUUUGCUUUUCUAGGGCCCCUCCCGCGCAUAUGGAGAUGAGGUUCCCAGGCUAGGGGUCUGAUCGGGAGCUGUAGCCACCGGCCUACGCCAGAGCCACAGCAACGUGGGAUCCGAGCCUCGUCUGCCACCUACACCACAGCUCAGGGCAGCGCCGGAUACUUCACCCACUGAGCAAGGCCAGGGAUCGAACCCGCAACCUCAUGGUUCUUGGUCCGAUUCGUUAACCACUGUGCCCCGAUGGGAAGGCCAAAGAAGCCUGAAUGUUUGUUAAAUGUACGAGGACUUGGGAGAUCUUCCAUGAAAAGCUGGCGCCUUUUCCAAAGGGGUCUUCGCCGUGUUCUUUUGGGGAAACGGACUCAACGCUGCCUUCUGUCUGCGUGCCUGCGGUCCCCAACGGCAGGAAGACCUGUGGCCGCAGUGCAGAGGAUGCUGUGACACUCACCGUGUUUUCUCUUGUCUCAUCACAGGUGGACGGGGCGGACGAUGAAAUCUCUUGGAGCUUGGAGAGUGUGUGUGAGAGCGACCUCGCUGACAGCAACCUCGCAGAAAGUGAUCGAGACUCGGUGGCGGAGCGCACCGACUGCCGCCAGGAUGAGGAGGCUGCAGGUAGGGAAGAGCACGCAGCUGGGAUCCAGGGGAGAGGGUUCCUGGGAGCAGCUGGGUUCCACCUGCUGCCGGGAGAGGGCGGAAGGGGGCUAGGACUUGGGUGGGUGGCCUACUGAGCGGAACUCCGCUGUGGUGUUUUCCCCU
rnacentral:lncRNA from 9 species